ensembl:lncRNA
AUGGAGAAAAGUCAUGGCUCUGGACUCCAGGAAAGCAUGUCUCCUCAGUGCCUAACCAAGAGCUGCUUGUGCCUUCAUGAGGAUUCCACAAAGGGAGAAAAGGAUUUCCAGGGCCAGGAGGUGAAGAAACGGGCUGCAAGAAUCAUACAGAUUCAGAAUCAUACAGCUAGGAAGCAUCCAAGAGUUACAGGAAUUCAGCCGCAUGGAAAAGGCAAGCAGUAUGAGAGCCAAGGAACUCAACACGAACCGCCAUGUUAAGUUCUGUGCUGUGAAACUCUGCAAAUAUCACUUCCUGCUGUAAAUAUCACUAUCCUGGUCUACCAGAAUUGAUUAGUCACAUUUGAGAAAGGCAAGAAGAAAAUGGUCCCCCUACUGAGAAAUAAUUACCUUCAUUUUAUGCCAAAUAACUUGGGAAUUUUUGUCUUCAGAGAUAUUUUUACAUCUUUUGAUUCACAGGAUCAUAGAUCUUGAGCUAGAAGAGAUGACCUUAGAAAGCAUCUGAGGCAGAAAGUGGGUGGGGGAGAAAGGAAGGAAGAAAGGGAGGGGAAGAAGGAAGGAAGGAAGGAAGGAAGGAAGGAAGGAAGGAAGGAAGGAAGGAAGGAAGGAAGGAAGGAAGGAAGGAAGGAAGGAAGGAAGGAAGGAAGGAAGGAAGGAAGGAAGGAAGGAAGGAAGGAAGGAAGGAAGGAAGGAAGGAAGGAAGGAAGGAAGGAAAGAAGGAAGGAAGGAGGGAGGAAGGAAGCUAAAUCUCUUUAUUUUACAGAUGAGGAAAUAAUCCUGUAAAAUUUAAGUCUUCAUUAAAAUAACACAGAUGGUAAAUGAUAAAGCUGGGAUUCAAACCCAGAUCCUCUGAGUUCAAAAUUCUCUGUAUCUACAUUAACCAUUUUUCUCUUGGAUCAGUUAACAAAUAGCUCCAAUGCGGAGGGCAUAUAUAUUUAUAAUAGAUAAUAGAUAAAUAUAUAUAAAACAUGUAAUAUAUUUGUAAAAACUGACCUGAGGAUCCUAGAUUUAAACCUUAUUGUUGCUCAAAUGUUUCAGUCAUGUCCAACUCUUCAUGACCCCAUUUGGGUUUUCUUGGCAAAGAUCUGGAGUGGUCUACCAUUUUCUUGUCCAGUUCAUUUUAUAAAGGAGGAAACUGAGGCAGAGUUAAGUGACUCACUCAGGGUGACACAAUUAGGAACUGUCUGGGUUCAGAUUUUAACUCAGAAAGACUUCCUAACUUCAAAUCUGGCACUACAUCCAUUGUGCCACCCAGCCACCCCUCAUAAUGUUAUAGUACUCUUUUGAAAACUUUUGUAGGUGGUUAUAUUCUGACUUGGAAUGCUUUGAUUUCAUAUUUUUUUUUACUAUUUUUCCUUCUGAAAAAAUUAACCAUAAUUCCCUUUCUUUAGUGAUCUUUCAUCCUAAUUUACCAUCUCCUCUGGAUGGCAAGCUAGGGGAGGGGUGCCUUGCAUUUUUCUCACCAGGGGUCAACAAGGUCUUCCAAAUCAAACAGGGAAAAUAACUUCCACAAAACCUCACGUUGUCUUUGGUGUCUGCUCUUCUGUUGGCUUGGAUGAGCUCCACUAAGGGAAUAAAUCUCUGCUUUUUCUUAGACUUGUCCGGAUC